ensembl:lncRNA
AAGCGUUCCAAAUAGAUUGCUGCUGCAGCGGGUGGAGCGCGAGCCAGCGACGGCAGACCAUGGCGCACAGGGCGCGUAUGAGAGUGAGCAACCCGAAGAGAAAAGACACUUUCCAAUGUUGUGUCAGUUAAUGUAAUGAUAACUACAACCAGUCAGCCACGGAUGAUUUUGUGAUUGAGUUGAGUGGUGACCGGGGAAAUGCCGAACGGUGUUAGGAAGCGUGUGUGGAUGGAGCAGCAGCAGCGGUGGAGGAACUAACGGAGAACUAGAAGAGAGGAGCACAACACGAGCGCAGAACAAGUGAACCGCUCUCAUCGCGGAAGGACGGAGAACUUUUGAAACAUUUUACGCGCUUUCUUCUCGCGCAUGCUUUGCGGUUGAUAUCUGCUUUCACGUAUGCCGAGGCGCGGGGAAGCUUCUUUCAACCCGACGACACACUGUGAGAGAAGACAUUUGAACUCAGCGAGGAGGUGAUACUGAGUCCCAGAGACUCACUGAGCCACUAGGAACCAUGUUGAAGUUUCAUAACUCGGACCUUUGGAUAGCCUGGAUUGUCAUUUUUUGCAUGGAGGGUUCCAGAUUUGAUCUGAAUACAGCAAAAGGAGGAGGAGGAGGAGGAAGAAGACGCUUGUUCAACAGCCACAAGGCUUUGCCAGGGCCAUCCGGACCAGCUGUGCUCCGGCUUUGUCUCACAAACAGUGAUGCACGCAUGCUACAUGCCCAUAAUCUAAUGCAUACAUACUUACAUACAACACAUUCACACACGCACAUAUGGAGAUUCAAAUAAAUAACUCAAAAAAGGACAGCGACACAACUAUACCCCAGUGCUCUAAAGAUCUCUCGUAAGGUGUCCUCAGCUUCAAUGUACUUUACUUUAUAAUUAAAAACAUGACAAGCAGUCAAUUCAGUUUUCUAUGUUGUCUAUAUACCGCAGUCACCAAUCAUUCUUAUCCAAUGGUUGAUAAUCACAACUGUCGAUUUAAAGACAGAGCUAGCAUCCCUGAACUUGCCUAAGGCUAAAGAAUCGAUUCAGAAUUUAGGGAGUGAAUCAAACUGUUCUGUUUGUAAUCUCAAUUUCUGAUACCUGGUGUCCAAACAUACAUCCCAGAGUGUCUUAUUCAGUUUGUGCCGAGGCUUAUGAGCUUAUUAAAAUUCUUAGUUACUCAUCAUGUUAUGAGAAUAAUAGGGUAUUUGAUGUGCAAUUGUUAGCAAAUCAUAGCAGAUAUUUCAGUUCCGUGUGUGCCACGAUGUUGGAGCAGGCCUUUUCUUUGUUUUUUUAAUAUAACUUAAAUGGGGUAAAUGCUCACUUUCUAUCUCUGUCGCUCUUCUCCUCCCUGACCUGGGAUCAGCUUUUGUUUCUUGUUUUGUUCCUGAAUGCCCUGUCAGAAACAGCUGCUAUAGUCUUCAGAGAGCUAACUCAGCACGUUGACGCUGAAGUUUUUUUCAGGCCUUCUUUUUUGCUGAAUAUUAGAAGAGAGCUACAGGGCGGUGCUUCGUGUGUGUGUGUGUGUGUGUGUGUGUGUGUGUGUACCAUGUGAGGUGUGCAUGUGCGUGUACCAUGUGAAGUGUGCGUGUGUGUAUGAGUGUGUGAUAACUUCUGAAUUCAGGGCACGUCCACAUGCCAGGCUGCGUUUAAGAACAGUAAAGUUUGCCGUAUAAUAUGGGAUGUAAAUCUGACCACCGAGCAGAAUAAGAAUGUUGCCCGGCUCCCAGUGUUGAUGAUGAGCUUGCAUUUUUGGCACCCAACCCUCGCCCCCGGCCAUCAAUCCAACCAAACACACGCACACGCACACGCACACGCACACACGCACACGCACACACAGAGAUCAGAGGUUUAGGAGCAGUUGAACAUCAUCAGCAUACCAGUCAACCCAUUGGUAGCGUGCACAUCAAAGGGAUCAGAGUAAACCUUCCGACGCCGCAAACGCUCCGCCCUCGUUUCUCUGAGUGAUCGCCGAACAACUCUCCAGAAUUGAAAUUGAGGAAGUUAUAAUGACUUCCCCCGCUCUCUCUGAUGUCAGGAAGCAUGUGAUGUGAUGGUGAGUCGCAUUUGACUAAACUACUUGAAGUCCAGGCCGAGGAAACGGUAACGAGCGAAGACGUAGAUGCCGGUUGGGCUAACCCGUACGCGGUACCGUUUAUUGACGUCGUUCCAGGCCUGGGCUGCCUUGGCUACAAUUAAAGAGUAGCUUAAGGCUAAAGUCGUUACGCAUCUUCAAAAUUAGCUUUUAAAUUGACAAACAUAAUUUGUGUUGUUCAUGGCGCCAUUCAAUCGGGAUCCACAAAGGAUUUUUCUGCCGUCCAUAUUUCUUUCCAAAAUAAGGACCCAUGGGGCACAGCAGAAGUGGG